UACGUAGGGCGCAAGUCGUUAUCCGGAAUUAUUGGGCGUAAAGAGCUCGUAGGCGGUUUGUCGCGUCUGCCGUGAAAGUCCGGGCUCAACUCCGGAUCUGCGGUGGGUACGGGCAGACUAGAGUGAUGUAGGGGGAGACUGGAAUCCUGGUGUAGCGGUGAAAUGCGCAGAUAUCAGGAGGAACACUGCGGUGUAGACGGCUUUCUGGACCAUUGCUGACGCUGAGACACGAAAGCGUGGGUAGCAAACAGG
rnacentral:rRNA from 1 species